rnacentral:rRNA from 1 species
GAUGAACGCUGGCGGCGUGCUUAACACAUGCAAGUCGAACGAAGCACUUUAUUUGAUUUCCUUCGGGACUGAUUAUUUUGUGACUGAGUGGCGGACGGGUGAGUAACGCGUGGGUAACCUGCCUUGUACAGGGGGAUAACAGUUGGAAACGGCUGCUAAUACCGCAUAAGCGCACAGCAUCGCAUGAUGCAGUGUGAAAAACUCCGGUGGUAUAAGAUGGACCCGCGUUGGAUUAGCUAGUUGGUGAGGUAACGGCCCACCAAGGCGACGAUCCAUAGCCGACCUGAGAGGGUGACCGGCCACAUUGGGACUGAGACACGGCCCAAACUCCUACGGGAGGCAGCAGUGGGGAAUAUUGCACAAUGAGCGAAAGCCUGAUGCAGCGACGCCGCGUGAGCGAAGAAGUAUUUCGGUAUGUAAAGCUCUAUCAGCAGGGAAGAUAAUGACGGUACCUGACUAAGAAGCACCGGCUAAAUACGUG